rnacentral:rRNA from 1 species
ACUCCUACGGGAGGCAGCAGUAGGGAAUCUUCGGCAAUGGGGGGAACCCUGACCGAGCAACGCCGCGUGAGUGAAGAAGGUUUUCGGAUCGUAAAGCUCUGUUGUAAGAGAAGAACGGGUGUGAGAGUGGAAAGUUCACACUGUGACGGUAUCUUACCAGAAAGGGACGGCUAACUACGUGCCAGCAGCCGCGGUAAUACGUAGGUCCCGAGCGUUGUCCGGUAUUUAUUGGGCGUAAAGCGAGCGCAGGCGGUUAGAUAAGUCUGAAGUUAAAGGCUGUGGCUUAACCAUAGUAUGCUUUGGAAACUGUUUAACUUGAGUGCAGAAGGGGGAGAGUGGAAUUCCAUGUGUAGUGGUGAAAUGCGUAGAUAUAUGGAGGAACACCGGUGGCGAAAGCGGCUCUCUGGUCUGUAACUGACGCUGAGGCUCGAAAGCGUGGGAGCAAACAGGAUUAGAUACCCUGGUAGCGACUGA